UACUCUACAGUACAGUACAACUUAGAAUUUUCAUGCUUGUUCACUUCUGGUAAAAUUAUAUUGGCUUUUUGAAAGUUGGUGUUAUUCCAAGUUGGCCAACUAGCGUUUUUGAUUUUGAUCCUCAAUGAACUUUUUCCAUCCAACUUAUUCUCUUUGCUGUCAAAUGCAGGCUCAUUGAAUUAUUGGCUUUUGGAUUCGGCUGGAGUUUUUCACCACUGCUCUUCAAAUAUACGCUCAGGGAGAGCCCUUGAAGAUACGUGCUGCAUGCAGUAGAGCGAACAGUUGAGGGGUUGAAUUUAUUGCUUUUCGAGAGCUGCAUGAUUCAGUAGCCUUGUCAUUCGCACUACUGCUAAAAACUCGAUGCCAUGUGGAUCGCGAGUUCUGAGUUGUCGAAGUACUGCAUAAGAACGUGGUAUCAGGAAUCAAGAAUACGGAAUUCAAUGAUGAUGAAAUCGUGUAUUAGGAGUCCAAAGCUGCAUGGGAGUAU